AUACUUCAGAUCUCUUCAGAUACCUUGAUCAUGAAGGAGGUUUUCCCAGGCUGAGGCUCAUCCAUUGCACUGCGGGUGUGCUGACCCCUGCGAUUUCCCCAAAUGCGGGAAACUCGACUGCAUAAUUUGUAUCUGAAGAAGUGUGCAUGCACACGA